UACGGGGGGAGCAAGCGUUGUUCGGAUUUACUGGGCGUAAAGGGCGCGUAGGCGGUCGUGACAAGUCACUUGUGAAAUCUCCGGGCUUAACUCGGAACGGUCAAGUGAUACUGUCGGACUAGAGUACAGAAGGGGCAACUGGAAUUCUCGGUGUAGCGGUGAAAUGCGUAGAUAUCGAGAGGAACACCUGCGGCGAAGGCGGGUUGCUGGGCGUGAUGACUGACGCUGAGGCGCGAAAGCCAGGGGAGCGAACGGG
rnacentral:rRNA from 1 species